UACAGAGGUCUCAAGCGUUGCUCGGAUUCAUUGGGCGUAAAGGGUGCGUAGGCGGCGCGGUAAGUCGGGUGUGAAAUCUCGGAGCUUAACUCCGAAACUGCAUUCGAUACUGCCGUGCUUGAGGACUGGAGAGGAGACUGGAAUUUACGGUGUAGCAGUGAAAUGCGUAGAUAUCGUAAGGAACGCCAGUGGCGAAAGCGAGUCUCUGGGCAGCAUCUGACGCUGAGGCACGAAGGCCAGGGGAGCAAACGGG
rnacentral:rRNA from 1 species